rnacentral:rRNA from 1 species
AACGAACGCUGGCGGCAUGCCUAACACAUGCAAGUCGAACGAGACCUUCGGGUCUAGUGGCGCACGGGUGCGUAACGCGUGGGAACCUGCCCUUAGGUUCGGAAUAACUCCCCGAAAGGGGUGCUAAUACCGGAUAAUGUCUUCGGACCAAAGAUUUAUCGCCUUUGGAUGGGCCCGCGUUGGAUUAGCUAGUUGGUAGGGUAAAAGCCUACCAAGGCGACGAUCCAUAGCUGGUCUGAGAGGAUGGUCAGCCACACUGGGACUGAGACACGGCCCAGACUCCUACGGGAGGCAGCAGUGGGGAAUAUUGGACAAUGGGCGAAAGCAUGAUCCAGCAAUGCCGCGUGAGUGAUGAAGGCCUUAGGGUUGUAAAGAUCUUUUACCCGGGAUGAUAAUGACAGUACCGGGAGAAUAAGCUCCGGCUAACUCCGUG